rnacentral:miRNA from 1 species
AGUCUUUGUAGGUGAAGUAGACUUGGCUGACAGAUGCCUCUAUUCUGCUUCCUCUGCAG